rnacentral:piRNA from 1 species
UCCCUCCACAAGUGCCGGAGCGCGUCGC